rnacentral:rRNA from 1 species
GUGGGGAAUCUUAGACAAUGGGGGAAACCCUGAUCUAGCCAUGCCGCGUGAGCGAUGAAGGCCUUAGGGUUGUAAAGCUCUUUCAGCUGGGAAGAUAAUGACGGUACCAGCAGAAGAAGCCCCGGCUAACUCCGUGCCAGCAGCCGCGGUAAUACGGAGGGGGCUAGCGUUGUUCGGAAUUACUGGGCGUAAAGCGCGCGUAGGCGGACCAGAAAGUUGGAGGUGAAAUCCCAGGGCUCAACCUUGGAACUGCCUUCAAAACUCCUGGUCUGGAGUUCGAGAGAGGUGAGUGGAAUUCCGAGUGUAGAGGUGAAAUUCGUAGAUAUUCGGAGGAACACCAGUGGCGAAGGCGGCUCACUGGCUCGAUACUGACGCUGAGGUGCGAAAGCGUGGGGAGCAAACAGGAUUAGAUACCCCUGUAGCC